rnacentral:sRNA from 1 species
GGCGGGAGUGCGAGCUGGGUCCGGGUCUCGGCCGCCGCCAUGGCCGCGGUGGACCUGGAGAAGCUGCGGGCGUCGGGCGCGGGCAAGGCCAUCGGCGUCCUGACCAGCGGCGGCGACGCGCAAGGCCCCCUGCUCAGAUGGCUGUGACCCUGGGCUGACCCGCCCAGUGGCACACUGACUCCGCCUGGAGCUGGGGAGACCAGAGAGGCCCCGUGGUUGGACGGUGGCCUGGGUGUGCUGUUCCUGCCCUCUCCUUGCCUUGCCUCAGCUGCUGCCUGCCAGAGGCAUGAACGCUGCUGUCCGGGCUGUGACGCGCAUGGGCAUUUAUGUGGGUGCCAAAGUCUUCCUCAUCCACGAGGGCUAUGAGGGCCUCGUGGAGGGAGGUGAGAACAUCAAGCAGGCCAACUGGCUGAGUGUCUCCAACAUCAUCCAACUGGGCGGCACUGUCAUUGGCAGCGCUCGCUGCAAGGCCUUUACCACCAGGGAGGGGCGCCGGGCAGCGGCCUACAACCUGGUCCAGCACGGCAUCACCAACCUGUGCGUCAUCGGCGGGGAUGGCAGCCUCACGGGUGCCAACAUCUUCCGCAGCGAGUGGGGCAGCCUGCUGGAGGAGCUGGUGGCGGAAGGUAAGAUCUCAGAGACGAUGGCCCGGACCUACUCGCACCUGAACAUCGCGGGCCUAGUGGGCUCCAUCGAUAACGACUUCUGCGGCACCGACAUGACCAUUGGCACGGACUCGGCCCUCCACCGCAUCAUGGAGGUCAUUGAUGCCAUCACCACCACUGCCCAGAGCCACCAGAGGACCUUCGUGCUGGAAGUGAUGGGCCGGCACUGCGGGUACCUGGCGCUGGUAUCUGCACUGGCCUCGGGGGCCGACUGGCUGUUCAUCCCCGAGGCUCCGCCUGAGGACGGCUGGGAGAACUUCAUGUGCGAGAGGCUGGGUGAGACUCGGAGCCGCGGGUCCCGACUGAACAUCAUCAUUAUCGCUGAGGGUGCCAUCGACCGCAACGGGAAGCCCAUCUCGUCCAGCUACGUGAAGGAU